rnacentral:rRNA from 1 species
UACGUAGGGUGCGAGCGUUAAUCGGAAUUACUGGGCGUAAAGCGUGCGCAGGCGGCUUUGUAAGCCGGAUGUGAAAUCCCCGGGCUUAACCUGGGAAUGGCAUUCGGGACUGCAAGGCUGGAGUGCGGCAGAGGAGACUGGAAUUCCUGGUGUAGCAGUGAAAUGCGUAGAUAUCAGGAGGAACACCGAUGGCGAAGGCAGGUCUCUGGGCUGACACUGACGCUCAUGCACGGAAGCGUGGGGAGCAAACAGG